UCUUGGUCAUUUAGAGGAAGUAAAAGUCGUAACAAGGUCUCCGUAGGUGAACCUGCGGAGGGAUCAUUACAAGAACGCCCGGGCUUCGGCCUGGUUAUUCAUAACCCUUUGUUGUCCGACUCUGUUGCCUCCGGGGCGACCCUGCCUUCGGGCGGGGGCUCCGGGUGGACACUUCAAACUCUUGCGUAACUUUGCAGUCUGAGUAAACUUAAUUAAUAAAUUAAAACUUUUAACAACGGAUCUCUUGGUUCUGGCAUCGAUGAAGAACGCAGCGAAAUGCGAUAAGUAAUGUGAAUUGCAGAAUUCAGUGAAUCAUCGAAUCUUUGAACGCACAUUGCGCCCCCUGGUAUUCCGGGGGGCAUGCCUGUUCGAGCGUCAUUUCACCACUCAAGCCUCGCUUGGUAUUGGGCAACGCGGUCCGCCGCGUGCCUCAAAUCGUCCGGCUGGGUCUUCUGUCCCCUAAGCGUUGUGGAAACUAUUCGCUAAAGGGUGUUCGGGAGGCUACGCCGUAAAACAACCCCAUUUCUAAGGUUGACCUCGGAUCAGGUAGGGAUACCCGCUGAACUUAAGCAUAUCAAUAAGCGGAGGAA
rnacentral:rRNA from 1 species